ensembl:misc_RNA Metazoa_SRP Metazoan signal recognition particle RNA
UCUGGGCAUGUUGGCUCAUGCCUGUAAUCCCAGCACUUUGGAAGGCUGAGGCAGGAGGAUCACCUGAGGUCAGGAGUUCGAGACCAGCCUGGCCAACAUGGUGAAAUCCUGCCUCUA